GCAGACACAUUCCAGCCAAUCAGCAGCAGGCCCUCCCUCCCAGACCCUCCCACCUCCUGGACAGCAUCCAUUGUGAAGCUGCAUUCUUAGUGAGCUGUCCAGGAGGUGGGAGGGUCUGGGAGGGAGGGUCUGCUGCUGAUUGGCUGGAAUAUGUCCG